rnacentral:tRNA from 1 species
GGGGACGUGGUGAAAUGGUAUCAUAAGGGUCUCCAAAACCUUUGUUCUCCGUUCAACUCGGAGCGUCCCUG